rnacentral:rRNA from 1 species
GACAGAGGGUGCAAGCGUUGCUCGGAAUUACUGGGCGUAAAGGGCGCGUAGGUGGGAUGGCAAGUCGGUCGUGAAAUCCCUCGGCUCAACUGAGGAUCGUCGAUCGAUACUGCCGUUCUUGAGGAUUGCAGAGGAGACUGGAAUUCCCGGUGUAGCGGUGAAAUGUGUAGAGAUCGGGAGGAACACCGGUGGCGAAGGCGGGUCUCUGGGCAAUUCCUGACGCUGAGGCGCGAAAGCGUGGGGAGCAAACGGG